UACGUAGGGGGCAAGCGUUGUCCGGAAUCAUUGGGCGUAAAGGGCGUCUAGGCGGUCCAGUAAGUCCUGCGUGAAAGCUCCCGGCUCAACUGGGAGAGCGCGUGGGAGACUGUUGGGCUAGAGACUCGGAGAGGGGUGUGGAAUUCCCGGUGGAGUGGUGAAAUGCGUUGAGAUCUGGAAGAACACCAAAGGCGAAGGCAGCAUCCUGGGAAGUUCCUGACGCUCGGGUGCGAAAGCCAGGGGAGCGAACGGG
rnacentral:rRNA from 1 species